CUGUAAACUGGAGAAACUGUGGUUGAGUGAUUGUGGCGUCACAGAUGAAGGUUGUUCUGCUCUGACUUCAGCUCUGAGAUCAAACCCCUCACACCUGAGAGAACUGGAUCUGUCUCUGAAUAAAAUAAGAGAUUUGGGAGUGAAGCGUCUCUGUGCUGGUCUGGAGGAUCCUCGCUGUAAACUGGAGACACUGUGGUUCUUCUGUCUUCAGUCUGGACGAGGUGUGAGCGUCAUAACUCCAGGGACGGAUGAACACACGGCUCUACUGGACACGUACUCGGAGAACUAGACCAGAGGGACCCCGCCGAAAUACUGCUGCUCCCGGAACCAGAUUUCAGACAGACACCUCAGAUUUCUGAACCAAGUGCAGCUUGAAUGAGAUUUACCAAAGAAAAGAAAAUAUGAGGCAGAACGCACGCUUGCUGUUCUCUGGUGAAUUCUCUCUUCAUGAACAACAAUGUAGAGCUGUGCACACAAUGUACAGAUACUUCUAGAGCAGAUAUGAGGGAGACUUCAGUCACGUUUGGAGCACGCUCUUUCACAGAUGUCUGUGGAUGUGGACUUCUUACAAUUGAUCUGUGUUCAGGAGCUGGUUUUCCUGAGUGCUGUAUCCUCCAGGUCAUCAUUCCUGUGGACAGAUGGGAAGACUUCACUGGUCUGCAUCAUGCUGUUACUUUAGAGAGACACAGAAACGAGACGCAUGUUGUGAUGGCACAACUGGAGCACUCUCUCUUCUGGAGAGGAGCAUUUUGGUAAAAAAAUACACCAUAUUACAUUAAUUGUAAUGUUUAAUCAAUAUUGUUGUUGUACUUUAGGAUAGUUGGUGAAAUAAUGGCAGUGAGCAUUACUCAGGAUGGACCUUUUUCAUGAAGUGGAUUUACAAUUUCAUUUCUUCCGGGAGAUUAAUAAAGAUGAGCUGACAUAACAGAUGCAGACCUGCUAGAUCUGAUUGACAAGAUUGAGACUGCAGACACUACAGCCUUGCUUGAGCUUUCUGAAAGAAUCGUAGCAUGUGGUACACAGGAUCCUAACAUGUGAUGAAAGGAAGACAUUGUCAGGUGUAGUAUCUGUGAUUCUGUCCAUCUGACUCUCCUCCUUUCUCUUCAAUCCACACAUCAGGGUUAGAUGUUUUUGGGACAUUAUACUCAUUCGUAGACUCUCAUCUGCAGCUUUUUACAGGUUUUCCAUUGUCAUGAGAAAUAAUGAAAUAUCUGAUGUCCCUGUCACUGUUUUAAGUUCAGGAACAGCGAGGCUAUGAUAUAAUAGUAUUAC